rnacentral:rRNA from 1 species
AUGUCGGCAUCUGAAGAAACUCGGGGCAGCAUGAAGAAGAAGGAGAAGAAGAAGACGACGGGCUGCCUCGCGCCAAUCUUCGCCGCCUGCGUCCCCUCCGCCAGGCAGCAGCCCGGCGGCGACGACGAUGCCGCCAGGAGCCGCCUCAGCUUCUCGUUCGCGGAGCAGAGCCAGCCCGAGAGCAUCAUCGACCCGGCCGCCUCGGUCGUGGCCAGGAAGGACGGCCGGCACCAGCAGCAGCCGCAGCACUGCGCCGUCAUCGUCGGCACCAUCUUCGGGAGCCGCAGCGGCCGCGUGACCUUCUGCGUGCAGCGCGACCCGGCCGUGCCGCCCCCGUUCCUCUUCGAGCUCUCCGUGCCCAUGCAGUCCCUCGCCGCCGAGAUGGCGUCCGGCCUUCUCCGCAUCGCGCUCGAGUGCCACCGCUCCAGCGGCAGGUCGUCCGCGCCCGGUGCGGCCGGCGAAAAUGCUGCUGCUGCCGGCGGCAGCUCCCGCCCGAGAAACGUCUGGACGGCGUCCUGCAACGGCCGGGACGCCGGACAUGCCGUGCGGCGGCCGCCGACGGAGUGGGAGCGGGGCGUGCUGGAGAGCAUGCGGACGAUGACGGCCGGCGUCGGGGCGCUGCCGGCAGCCGAGCCGCAAGAAGGGAUCAGCGAGGAGGUGAUGUAUAUGAGGGCGACCUACGAGAGGGUGGUGGGCUCCAAGGACGCGGUGUCGUACCAUCUCAUCAGCCCACGCACCGCCGGCGAUAGCCCGCCGCAGGAGCUCAGCCUCUUCCUGCUGAGAACCAGAGGGGAUUGA